UACGGAGGGUGCAAGCGUUAUCCGGAUUCACUGGGUUAAAGGGUGCGUAGGAGGGCAGGUAAGUCAGUGGUGAAAUCUCCAAGCUUAACUUGGAAACUGCCGUUGAUACUAUCUGUCUUGAAUAUUUGUGGAGGUGAGCGGAAUAUGUCAUGUAGCGGUGAAAUGCUUAGAUAUGACAUAGAACACCAAUUGCGAAGGCAGCUCGC
rnacentral:rRNA from 1 species